UACGUAGGGUGCGAGCGUUGUCCGGAAUUACUGGGCGUAAAGAGCUCGUAGGCGGUUUGUCGCGUCGUCCGUGAAAACUUGGGGCUCAACCCCAAGCUUGCGGGCGAUACGGGCAGACUUGAGUACUGCAGGGGAGGACUGGAAUUCCUGGUGUAGCGGUGAAAUGCGUAGAUAUCAGGAGGAACACCGGUGGCGAAGGCGGUUCUCUGGGCCUUACCUGACGCUGAGGAGCGAAAGCGUGGGGAGCGAACAGG
rnacentral:rRNA from 1 species